UCAGAUGCGUUCUGAGUCAUGAUCCUGACU
rnacentral:piRNA from 1 species